CCUUAAAAAAAAUCCCGUCUCUCUGAGUCUCUGACCCCACACACACGAUCCCUCCCCCAUCCCCGAUCCCAUCCCCAAGCGCCGCCAGCCCAUCGUGCCCGCAGCCCCUGCCCACAGCGGCGGCGGCCCUCUGCCCCUGCCCACAGUGGUGGCGGCCCUCUGCGCCUCUCCCUCUUCCACACCUCGCCGCCGCCCCUCUGUCCCUCUCCCCAACUGUCCUCAAACCCUCGGCUUCCCCGUCCCGCAUACCCACGGAACGCCGCUGCCACGAUCUCUCCUCGUGUGCGCCUCCGCCAAUCCCGCCUCCAACUCCCCUACCUCCGCCGCUACGCGUCCGGUCCGUUUCCUCCUCAAAUUUGAGUGAGAUGAACGAACACGCUAGUGGAUUCUAUAUUUCUGUGAUGCACGAGCACGCUAGUGUUUCACUUGCUUGGGGAUUGGGGUGUGUCAAGUUCCUGAAGAUCGACCCCGCGGCGUGGGCUGGGUUGGAGGAGACGGCGGCGGCGCAGUAGGCCAAGCAUCACAUAGGCGCCGUACGACCUGUCCUCACGUUUCUAUCCGCUCUUGUGCACAGACACUGUGAUCCGAUUAGGCACUUGCAUUGGCAAAAGCAGUUCAUGUGAUUAUCAUCAGUCAAUAAAUUGAAGCCUUUACAGGUUGCAUACCGGUUCAACGAUUUUGUUUCCCCAUUACUGACGAACCGUGACUUCGAUGCAAAACCAAUGGUUAUGCUCUUCGGUCAAUAUUCUACAGGGAAAACAACUUUGAUUAAGCACCUGCUGAAAACAAGCUACCCAGGUUUCAGCUUUGUCUAAUACAGAAUACCUCAGCCAUCUUGAUUCAAUAGUGUAGAUUUCUUCCUGGUUCAGUUAUGUUUCUGCUGGACCAAGAUCUUUUAUUUUUGACGGGGCCUGGUCCAAGAUCUGACUCACCUAACAAUUGAAUUGUACCUCAGUGGCAGAUACUAUGUGAUGGUGCUGCAUCUCUUCUCAUUUCUCUUGAUUUAGCUUCGUUGUACAAAUUACACGUUCCACAAUAAAGUGAUAUACUAUACUAUAGUGCUACAGGUUCUUCUGUUUGAUUCUCAGUUACUAAUUAAGCUUUCCAUGCAUUUUGACUGUCUUUCUCGCUAUCUACCAUCCCACAGGUGCAGAUGUGGUGAUCCAGGAUUUAGUUAGUUUUGUGCGUGUGAGAUCCAGGAUUUAGUUAGUUUUGUGCGUGUGACAUUUAUGCAACACUCAUGCUUCUUCUUUUGGUCAGGCAUACAUUUGGUAACCCUAAGAUUGUGCUUCAGACUUCAGUUUAUGUAUGUUACAUCUAUGCUCGAUGAGAGGACUAAUUAGUACGUGAGCUGGAUAAUAUAUAUAAAUGUUAUUUGCAA